CAAGUCCUCAUGGCCUUUAUACCCAGGGCUACACACGUGCUACAAUGGGCUAUACAAAGGGCUGCCACUUUGCAAAGAGGAGCUAAUCCCAAAAAGUAGUCCUAAGUUCGGAUUGGAGUCUGCAACUCGACUCCAUGAAGCUGGAAUCGCUAGUAACCGUGGAUCAGCAUGCCACGGUGAAUUCGUUCCCGGGCCUUGUACACACCGCCCGUCACACCACGAAAGUUGGUUGUACCAGAAGUUGUUAGGCUAACCCCCGAGCUUGUCGACGGGGAGGCAGACACCUAAGGUAUGGCUGGUGAUUGGGGUGAAGUCGUAACAAGGUAACCGU
rnacentral:rRNA from 1 species